AUGGAGUCUCAGUCAAGGCCUCGGCGGGCCCCAGGCAGAGCUCUCGAUCUGAAGAAGGCCCUGUGGAGUUGUCCCCAGGUAAGGCAAGAAAGCCAGGCUUUGAGAUGGCUGCAUUACCAUCUCAGUUACCGGAGGCAGGCUACCCAGGAAAGGGGCCGGAGCUGCAUGGUCAUGUUCCACAGAGAUGGUUCUGAGGAGGGGGGAACUCCAAGAAAUGCUGUUUUGGGGCCGAGCCGGGUGAGCACUAGGUGCACCACGCAUAAUCAGUCCCGAAAAUGGCACAGAAACGGCAUCAAGAAACCCCGAUCACAACGAUAUGAAUCUCUUAAGGGGGUGGACUCCAAGUUCCUGUGGAAUAUGCGCUUUGCCAAGAAGCACAACAAGAAGGGCCUAAAGAAGAUGUAGGCCAACAACGCCAAGGCCAUGAGUGCACGUGCUGAAGCUAUCAAGGCUCUUGUAAAACCCAAGGGGGUCAAGCCUAAUAUCCCAAAGGGUAGCAGCCACAAGCUCAGUUGACUUGCAUACAUUGCUCACCCCAAACUUGGGAAACGUGCUCAUGCCCGCACCGCCAAGGGCCUCAAGCUUUGCUGGCCAAAGUCCCAGGCCAAGGCUCAGUCCAAGGCCAAGGCCACAGCUGAAGGUACAGCUGCAGCUCCAGUUCCUCCAGCCUCGGCUCCCAAAGAUGCCCAGGCCCCCACAAAAGCUCCACAAUAGAGGUGUUUAUCUGCCAAUGUGAGGACAGAAGGACUGGUGUGAUUCCUGGGCUGCUGUCUAUACGGGGCUGGUGUCCUGUGUUGUUUGUACAAAUAAACCUGCCUCAGGAUCUGUCAAAAAAAAAAAAAA